rnacentral:lncRNA from 1 species
AAGAAGGGCUCUGAGCUCCUGAAGGAGAAGCUGCACAAAGCUCACAAGGAGCUGCAGCUGAAGGGCGAAGACUGUGAGCAGCUGUUCCUAGUGCAGGAGCAGCUGCACGGGAGCUGGAGGAGCUGAUGACUAGCCUGUUUGAGGAAGCCCACAAGAUGGUGUGGGAAGCCAGCAUACAGCAGGCAGUGUCAGAAAAGCAGCUGAAUGCGGAGGCAUGGGGAAAGAUAGACAUGCUGCAGGCAGAGGUGACAGCUUGAAGACACUGGUCAUCAUGUCCACACCAGCCUCUCCCAACUACAAGCUCCACCUGCACCUGCUGAGCCCCACUAAGGGUGGGCCCUGCAAGGCCCACUGCCAACCUAAGAGCACCAGCAGUGCCCUCUCCUUGGCCUUGUGCCCCACUGUGAGACAUGCCCUCACCUUGGACAAGGAGGUGGAUGUGACACUAUUGGCAGAGUUCCAAGCCUGGAAGGAAUUACCUACCUUGGACAAGACCUGUUCCUUGCUGCAAAGGGUGUAGUGGGAGGAUAUGGACCCCUGCCUGGACUUCACAGUGCAGAAUCUCUUGCCACAGGUGUAGGCCUCUAUGGGGGACACCACACUCACUAUCAAGCCUGUGGCUCUGCAGAAGCUGCCUAUAGUGAGGGUAACUGUGGUCAAUUGUGGCAGUGCCAAUAUAUGUGUCUUGAGCAAUUUGGCCCAUACCUGCCACCACCACCACAUCUGGCUUUGUGACUUUGCGAGCCACUACCACAUCUCACUGUCUUCUCAGGCCAGGAUCACUGCAGUGUGCAACUUUUUCAUCUAUAUCUGCUACAUCCACAAGGCCUGGUGCGACAGGAUUUGAAGCCAGUGUUCUGGGAGAUCACAAAGCUGUGAAAAGAGAUACAGCUGGCCAAACUCAGCUCCCCCUAGAAGCCUAG